rnacentral:rRNA from 1 species
UCAUCAUGGCCUUUACGAGUAGCCUAUACNCGUGCUACAAUGGCGUAUACAGAGGGAAGCGAGGGUGCGAGCUGGAGCGAAUCUCACAAAGUACGUCUAAGUCCGGAUUGGAGUCUGCAACUCGGCUCCAUGAAGUCGGAAUCGCUAGUAAUCGCAAAUCAGAAUGUUGCGGUGAAUACGUUCCCGGGCCUUGUACACACCGCCCGUCACACCAUGGGAGUGGGUUGUACCAGAAGUAGAUAGCUUAACCUUCGGGGGGGCGUUUACCACGGAUGAUUCAUGACUGGGGUGAAGUCGGAACAAGGUAACCCUAGGGGAA